AGACGUCUACAUUAGAUACCCCGGUAGUCCCAGCCCUAAACGAUGCGCGUUAGGUGUAUCGGUGACCACGAGUCACCGAGGUGCCGAAGGGAAACCGUGAAACGUGCCGCCUGGGAAGUACGGUCGCAAAGGCUGAAACUUAAAGGAAUUGGCGGGGGAGCACCGCAACGGGAGGAGCGUGCGGUUCAAUUGGAUUCAACGCCGGACAACUCACCAGGAGCGACGGUUACAUGAAGGCCAGGCUGAUGACCUUGCCUGAUUUUCCG
rnacentral:rRNA from 1 species